rnacentral:rRNA from 1 species
AAACUUUCAACAACGGAUCUCUUGGUUCUGGCAUCGAUGAAGAACGCAGCGAAAUGCGAUAAGUAGUGUGAAUUGCAGAAUUCAGUGAAUCAUCGAAUCUUUGAACGCACAUUGCGCCCCU